UACGUAGGGGGCAAGCGUUGUCCGGAAUCAUUGGGCGUAAAGCGCGUGUAGGCGGCCUUGUAAGUCCGUUCUGAAAGCCCGGGGCUCAACCCCGGGAGGCGGAUGGAUACUGCAAGGCUCGAGUACGGAAGAGGCGAGUGGAAUUCUCGGUGUAGCGGUGAAAUGCGUAGAUAUCGAGAGGAACACCUGAGGUGAAGACGGGUUGCUGGGCCGACACUGACGCUGACAGCGCGAAAGCCAGGGGAGCAAACGGG
rnacentral:rRNA from 1 species